rnacentral:rRNA from 1 species
AACGAACGCUGGCGGCAUGCCUAACACAUGCACGUCGAACGAGAUCUUCGGGUCUAGUGGCGCACGGGUGCGUAACGCGUGGGAAUCUGCCCUUUGGUUCGGAAUAACAGUUGGAAACGACUGCUAAUACCGGAUGAUGACGAAAGUCCAAAGAUUUAUCGCCAGAGGAUGGAGCCGCGUAGGAUUAGCUAGUUGUUGUGGUAAAGGCGCACCAAGGCGACGAUCCUUAGCUGGUCUGAGAGGAUGAUCAGCCACACUGGGACUGAGACACGGCCCAGCCUCCUACGGGAGGCAGCAGUUGGGAAUAUUGGACAAUGGGCGAAAGCCUGAUCCUGCAAUGCCGCGGUAUUGAUGAAGUCCUUAGGGUUGUAAAGCUCUUUUACCCGGGAUGAUGAUGACAGUACCGGGAGAAUAAGCUCCGGCUAACUCCGUGCCAGCCGCCGCAGUAA